UACGAAGGGGGCUAGCGUUGCUCGGAAUGACUGGGCGUAAAGGGCGCGUAGGCGGAUGGCACAGUCAGAUGUGAAAUUCCCGGGCUUAACCUGGGGGCUGCAUUUGAUACGUGUUGUCUAGAGUGAGGAAGAGGGUUGUGGAAUUCCCAGUGUAGAGGUGAAAUUCGUAGAUAUUGGGAAGAACACCGGUGGCGAAGGCGGCAUCCUGGACCAACACUGACACUGAUGAGCGAAAGCCAGGGGAGCAAACGGG
rnacentral:rRNA from 1 species